rnacentral:rRNA from 1 species
AUUGAACGCUGGCGGCAGGCCUAACACAUGCAAGUCGAACGGUUGCACAGAGAGCUUGCUCUCGGGUGACGAGUGGCGGACGGGUGAGUAACGUCUGGGAAACUGCCCGAUGGAGGGAGAUAACUACUGGAAACGGUAGCUAAUACCGCAUAAUGUCGCAAGACCACAGUGGGGGACCUUCGGGCCUCACACAAUCGGCUGUGCACAGAUGGGAUUAGCUAGUAGGUGGGGUAAUGGCUCACCUAGGCGACGGUCCCUAGCUGGUCUGAGAGGAUGACCAGCCACACUGGAACUGAGACACGGUCCAGACUCCUACGGGAGGCAGCAGUGGGGAAUAUUGCACAAUGGGCGCAAGCCUGAUGCAGCCAUGCCGCGUGUAUGAAGAAGGCCUUCGGGUUGUAAAGUACUUUCAGCGGGGAGGAAGGCGGUGAAGUUAAUAACUUCACCGAUUGACGUUACCCGCAGAAGAAGCACCGGCUAACUCCGUGCCAGCCGCCGCGGUAA